rnacentral:rRNA from 1 species
CCUACGGGAGGCAGCAGUAGGGAAUAUUGCUCAAUGGGGGAAACCCUGAAGCAGCAACGCCGCGUGGAGGAUGAAGGUUUUCGGAUUGUAAACCUCUUUUGCCGGGGAGCAACGGGCGUCACGUGUGGCGCCACUGAGAGUACCCGGAGAAAAAGCAUCGGCUAACUCCGUGCCAGCAGCCGCGGUAAUACGGAGGAUGCGAGCGUUAUCCGGAUUUAUUGGGUUAAAAGGGUGCGUAGGCGGAUCGUUAAGUCAGUGGUCAAAUUGAGGGGCUCAACCCCUUCCCGCCAUUGAAACUGGCGUUCUUGAGUGGAAGAGAAGUAUGCGGAAUGCGUGGUGUAGCGGUGAAAUGCAUAGAUAUCACGCAGAACCCCGAUUGCGAAGGCAGCAUGCCGGCUUCCGACUGACGCUGAAGCACGAAAGCGUGGGGAUCGAACGGGAUUAGAUACCCGUGUAGUC